CUUUGACAAAAAUAUAAAAAUUUCAAAAAAAUUGAACCAACUGUUUAAUCAGAAAAAUUAUACUGGUUAUAUAGCAGAUUGACAAAAACUUAUUUUGAUCAUUGAGAAGCUUGAUAUUCCCUUAUGAACACAACGUCAUUAAAACAUUCUGCUGAUAUUACAGAGUUAUCUCCCUGUAGUGUUAGGUACCACCUUAAGAUAAUGGUCUGAACUUUCCUGUCGUUAUUUUUACUGAUUCUCUUUUGAUAGACAAAAUCUGUUAUAAAAUGUGAAUGUCUGUCAAUUACCAUUCAAUUUACAUUGAUGUGUCCACUAACCUUAAUUCUGUACAAAACAAAUAAAGUUGUAGCCUGCAGCAUUAACCUUUGGGCAUUACACUAGUAAUGGAGAAAAACUUAUACACAGUUCUUUGGAAUUCUUACCCAUAAAGUUGAUUAUUGUUAAAAUAUAUAAUAAAAGUGGUACCCAACACUUUAACAAAAUUAAUUUGGCUCGUUUAAUUUUCAUAAAAUUUUGUCAAAGUAUUUACUUUGAGACUUUGAUAAAAAUAUAAAAAUUUUAAAAAUAUUUGAACCAACCGUUUUAUCAGAAAAAUUACACUGGUUAUAUAGCAGUUUGACAAACACUAAUUUUGAUCAUUGAGAAGCUUAAUAUUCCCUUAACAACACACAAGGUAAUUAAAGCGUUUAGCUGAUUUUACAGAGUUAUCUCCCUGUAGUGUUAGGUACCACCUUAAUAAAAGGUCAUUAUAUAUGUUAUGUGAUAACUGUUUUUACAGUGUUGAAUUGUUAAUGUUUAUAAAACCUAUAUUUUACUUUAAAUCUUUUUAAGGAAUGGAUAAUAUAGAAUAAUUUAUAUAGCAGCGAUGCUUUAUUAUGAAUUUUGUGUAAGAUUGUCAAAAGUCAAAUACAUCAAGGUAGUAUGUUGCAGAAUGGAUAAGCUGAAAGAAAAUGAUGAAUGAAUUUGACAGAUUUGAUUUUUUUAUGUCACAAUGAGGAUGUUUUUUUUUCUGUCUCUGAAAGUAGGCUCAUGCAUAGAUGAAGUUUUAAAAAUGAAUUUGAUUCCAUACAUUUCUGUGUCCACACUUUUUCAAAUGUUUCAUUAUUCAUAUUGUGAUGUAUAAAGGUAGCUGAUUAUGUUUUUUGGGCAUUAUUUAAGAUUGUCAAAACUGAUUCUGGUGGAUAAAAAGUGAGUAAAUGAAAGUUUUAAUUGUUUUAUCUACUUUUAUCUACAUUUUCUUUUACUUUAAACAGGUCCAGUUUUCUUUUGUACAAUAAUCAGAAUAAAGAGAAAUAAGGUUAUUAAACAGAAUUCAGAAAAAUGUUUUCACACUUUGGCAGAACAUUAAUUGUAUUAUUUUUAUUUCAUCAUUUAUCACACAAAAAUUAACAUCUGACAGCAAAAUAUUUAUCAGAAUUAAGGAUUAUGUACCCUUGUGUUGAUUAAAUGCUAAACAUGGAAAUUUUUUAGAAAAUCCACAGCCUUUCCCCUUUUACUCUCAUUUUUGGCAAUUCAAUGCUUGAUAGCUAGAGAAUUAUUGCAUGCAGUGCUAGCAAUGAUUUCGUUUAAACAAAUUUAAAACAAAUAUAUAUGGACCAAUUCAAGUACAUGUACACCUUCUAGGGUUGCUCGACUUUAGUGACUCAGCACGAGGUGUUUUUAAAAUUUAAAGGUUGUUUAGGACUUUUUGUAAACAAUAAACGCUAGCACAUUAUAGAAAAACAAGUGAGUAAUCCAUGUUUAAAAUUUUAUAACUAAAAUCUCUGUUUUGAAGUCUGGAUUUUCUACAAAAAUCUUGGUUUUAUUUUCACCAAAUUCUCUUUUUCUACUAAAUGCAAUUAAAUUAUAAAUAAUAAUGCUUUUCACGAAGUUCCCCUCGGUAUAUGUACAAAAUAAACCAUCUCUAUUAUUCAUUAUCUUUGCUGUUUUGAUACUAUUGCAGUUUAAAAAUUUUGUAAUUCACAGGCCACAGAAGGGGUCAUAAACCUCAAGUUCAUUUGAUUUAAAUUAUACUUUUACACGUUUUAAGGUGCAGAAUUUCAGAACCUAACAAGUUAGAGGUUAGGAAAAAUAAAACAUUUAUCAGUUUGAAUAUUAUAAUUGUUUGUUAAGUAAUUGUGCUUGUGAUAUGAUAUUGAAAAAGUUAACUGCCUUAGUUAGUUGUUUAAAAAAGACGGUAUUCUAUCUGAGUAGUGCUAUAACAUCAGAAUCAGUGUUGAAAUAAAUGUUUUUUAAGAUGUGUUCUCUUUACAUUUGUAUAUAAAUUAUUUGUAGAUAGGUAUUUUAACCCAGUGUGAGCCAAAGUCAACCUUUUUAAACUGUAUGUAAUCCAGAUUCAUAAAGUCUUUGAUUUCUCCAUGUUUCCAACAGUCCAGCUGGAUCAGGUAGACUUAGAGAAAGUUUGGACUGUAUACAAGUAAAGCCAACUACAGUAAAACCUGACUUACCCGAACCCUUUCGAGAUAUGAGAUGUUGUUCGGUUUGGCAGGUAUUCGGUUUCAUCAGGUUCACAAUGCAUAAAAUGUGAUAUGAUUGGUCUUCAGAAAAAGUUUGGAUUAGACAGGUUUCCGGUUUAAUCAGGUUUCACUGUAUAUGGAUUUUACAUACCAGUCUACCUUGAUUACAAUAUUUAUUCUCUCAAGAUAAUUAAUUUAAACCACUGAAGGGGCAGAGGUGGAUUUAGGGGGUGGGGGCACGGAGCCUGGGUCCCCCCUUUUUGGGAAAAAUUUUGGUUGCUGAUAUAGGGAAUCACUGAAGCGUGACUAGAGAGGGCCCCCUCUUAGGCAGUCAGUGGGCCCCCACUUAUGAAAAUUUCUGGAUCCACCACUGAGGGCAUUAAGUUUUACCUUUGUCCAUCGAAAAUUUAGUUUCCACAACUAACUUUAGUUUGCCCCAAACACAAGGAAACUUAAAUUAUACACAAUGUCUAUCACCAAACACAGAUCAAAAUCAAUUUGGGGUGGCGUCAAUUUCACCAUUUUGCGUUAUGUCCCUCUUUAAAUAGAAAAAUUGCAGAAUUUUACAUAUUUUUAUUUUAGAAGUUGCACAUCUCUGUCCAAUGAACACAUUCUUUAUGUUUAUUAAAUUUAACUAUCAAGGCUGGAUAAAUAAAUUAAGUGGGCGAAUUUGUAAAAUUUAACAAUUAAUCUGUAAUUCAAAAUCAAAUCAGUACAAUGGUCUGAAUAGAUAUGGCGUGCAAUUAAUUGUGGCAAAUUUUCAUUGAAAUUUUACAUGUGGACAGGUGUAGAUGUUUUUUAAAGUCUCCAUUGGUCCAUACAAAGCUGUUUUGGAAAUUUCAGAUAUUGUAGGAAUUGACAAAUUUUCAACGUUAUUUUUACAUGUGGUGUUAAUGUCUUUAGAGACCCCACUGGUUCAUACAAAGCUGUUGGGAGCUGAGGGAAUUUCAGACUUAAUGAAUGGCUGACUAUUUUUAGAUUAAAUUUUGAUGUUUAUCUAAUUAAGAUAAGAUUAUCACAUGUGUUCUAAUAUGUUUUGUCUUAAAAGGAAAAAUAGUCAAAAAGAUAGCAGUACAUCUUAAUAAGGUUAUAAGUAUGAUAUACCAAGUCAAAAGAUAGCAGUACAUCUUAAUAAGGUUAUAAGUAUGAUACCAUUGUUUUGCUUCUUGGUAAAAUAAUAAAAGAGUGAAAU
rnacentral:lncRNA from 1 species